UACGUAGGGUGCGAGCGUUAAUCGGAAUUACUGGGCGUAAAGCGUGCGCAGGCGGUUUUGUAAGCCAGAUGUGAAAUCCCCGGGCUUAACCUGGGAAUGGCAUUUGGGACUGCAAGGCUGGAGUGUGGCAGAGGAGACUGGAAUUCCCGGUGUAGCAGUGAAAUGCGUAGAUAUCGGGAGGAAUACCGAUGGCGAAGGCGGGUCUCUGGACAGUUCCUGACACUGAGGCACGAAGGCCAGGGGAGCAAACGGG
rnacentral:rRNA from 1 species